rnacentral:rRNA from 1 species
UACGUAGGCAGCGAGCGUUGUUCGGAGUUACUGGGCGUAAAGGGUGCGUAGGCGGUUUUCCAAGUUUGGUGUGAAAUCUCCCGGCUUAACUGGGAGGGUGCGCCGAAAACUAGGAGACUUGAGUACUGGAGAGGUAAGCGGAAUUCCUGGUGUAGCGGUGAAAUGCGUAGAGAUCAGGAGGAACACCUGUGGUGUAGACAGCUUACUGGACGGUCACUGACGCUGUGGCACGAAAGCGUGGGUAGCAAACAGG